rnacentral:misc_RNA from 1 species
CCAACAAUAAAAAUUUCUAAAUCCGCCUCUGAUUGCAUUUACAUGCAAGUUCUAAUAUUAUAUUAUAUUACAUAAAUACAGAAUAUAUAUAAAAAAAAAGUAAAAAGAAAAAAAAAAGUUGGCAAUACAUAGCAUGAGGCAUGCAAAAUCUGAAAAUCAAUCGAAAAUCACCAACCUAAAACUGAGAGCUGCUCUGUCUUCCCACUCACAAAAUUUGGAAGAACCUGCUAUUCACACCAGCCCUAUACAGAUGCAGCUCAGAUACAGUUGUUAUGCUAAUCUCAAUGUUGGCAGGUGCAAACAGGACAUCUCCUUCAGUAACAACCUCUUUAGAUGAUUCGGUGUGCAUUCUUCCCUCCCCAGCUGUGAUCACAAAUAUGGAAGGACCUGGGACUGCAGGGAACACUGUUGAUGCCCCCCUAGGAAGAACACAGCUAUCAACCUCAAAUUCAUCAAAAGGUGGGAGAUAUCUUGUUAUAUACGGACUCAGAGGAAAUCCUUUCAGGAUUUCAGGGAAUCCCUGUUUGUAUGUGAGCAUGGAACAUAAUGUUUGGAUAUCCCGAUGCUUGGGAGUAAGGCCAGCCC